rnacentral:ribozyme from 1 species
ACUGCAAGUUUGAGGCCAUAGCAGAAGCACUGAUAGCACGGUCCGUCAGAUUUUGAUGAAUCUGUGAAUUCUGCU